rnacentral:rRNA from 1 species
UACGGAGGGUGCAAGCGUUAUCCGGAUUCACUGGGUUUAAAGGGCGCGUAGGUGGGCAGGUAAGUCAGUGGUGAAAUCUCCGGGCUUAACUCGGAAACUGCCAUUGAUACUAUCUGUCUUGAAUACCGUGGAGGUCAGCGGAAUAUGUCAUGUAGCGGUGAAAUGCUUAGAUAUGACAUAGAACACCAAUUGCGAAGGCAGCUGGCUACACGAAUAUUGACACUGAUGCACGAAAGCGUGGGGAGCGAACAGG